rnacentral:rRNA from 1 species
UCGAGCGAGUCUGCCUUGAAGAUCGGAGUGCUUGCACUCUGUGAAACAAGAUACAGGCUAGCGGCGGACGGGUGAGUAACACGUGGGUAACCUGCCCAAGAGAUCGGGAUAACACCUGGAAACAGAUGCUAAUACCGGAUAACAACAGAUGAUGCCUAUCAACUGUUUAAGAGAUGGUUCUGCUAUCCCUCUUGGAUGGACCUGCGGUGCAUAGCUAGUUGGUAGGGUAACGGCCUACCAAGGCGAUGAUGCAUAGCCGAGUUGAGAGACUGAUCGGCCACAUUGGGACUGAGACACGGCCCAAACUCCUACGGGAGGCAGCAGUAGGGAAUCUUCCACAAUGGACGCAAGUCUGAUGGAGCAACGCCGCGUGAGUGAAGAAGGGUUUCGGCUCGUAAAGCUCUGUUGUUGGUGAAGAAGGACAGGGGUAGUAACUGACCUUUGUUUGACGGUAAUCAAUUAGAAAGUCACGGCUAACUACGUGCCAGCAGCCGCGGUAAUACGUAGGUGGCAAGCGUUGUCCGGAUUUAUUGGGCGUAAAGCGAGUGCAGGCGGCUCGAUAAGUCUGAUGUGAAAGCCUUCGGCUCAACCGGAGAAUUGCAUCAGAAACUGUCGAGCUUGAGUACAGAAGAGGAGAGUGGAACUCCAUGUGUAGCGGUGAAAUGCGUAGAUAUAUGGAAGAACACCGGUGGCGAAGGCGGCUCUCUGGUCUGUUACUGACGCUGAGGCUCGAAAGCAUGGGUAGCGAACAGGAUUAGAUACCCUGGUAGUCCAUGCCGUAAACGAUGAGUGCUAAGUGUUGGGAGGUUUCCGCCUCUCAGUGCUGCAGCUAACGCAUUA